rnacentral:rRNA from 1 species
CAGCCGCCACGGGAAUACGUAGGGCGCAAGCGUUAUCCGGAAUUAUUGGGCGUAAAGAGCUCGUAGGCGGUUUGUCGCGUCUGCCGUGAAAGUCCGGGGCUUAACCCCGGAUCUGCGGUGGGUACGGGCAGACUAGAGUGAUGUAGGGGAGACUGGAAUUCCUGGUGUAGCGGUGAAAUGCGCAGAUAUCAGGAGGAACACCGAUGGCGAAGGCAGGUCUCUGGGCAUUAACUGACGCUGAGGAGCGAAAGCAUGGGGAGCGAACAGGAUUAGAUACCCCGGUAGUCCCUGUCUCUUAUAC